CAGAACUCCUAGAUCACCCAAGUCUAAUGUAGACCAUCAUCUUGGAGAAGAAAUUUGAUGUUGGUGUUGAAUAAAGUUCACCAAUGAUUUGGCCAUGAAAUAAGAGAUGGAGGAGUUCCUGAAAGCCUGUGUAGAAAGACUUACAGAAGAAAUAAGAAACUGAAGUAAAGGAAACAGGAAAUAAUAAAAAGAAAGGAUAGGGAAGAUGUUACAUUUAGGGGAAGCUGGGUGAAGAGUAGAAGAAACUUCUAUAUACUCUUUUUGCAAAUACUUGUAAGUCUACUAUUAUUUCAAAAUAAAAAGUUAGAACAAAUUUUUUUAAAAGACAUGAGAAAAUUGAGAUGGAGAAAUAAACUGUCUUAAGAGCAAUUCCAUAUAAUUUGAAUAGGCUAAAGGAAGCUUUAGUGAACUUCUCACCAUUCUUUAUUCAAUAUUCAGGGAACAUUUUUUUGAGCACUUUCUUUGUAACCGUCAUUCUUCUAAAUGUUAAAGAUGUAGUAAACAAAAAAUUUCUGUUCUUAUAGGUCUUAUAUUCCAGUUCAUAUUUAUAAUAGACAACUAAUAGGUAGAUAUAUAAUGUGUCAGAUGAUGGUAAAAAUAAAGCAGGGUAAAGGGGUACCGUGAAAUGGGUGAGUGCUGUUCUAGAUAGGAUAUUCAUGGAAGGUUUCUGAUAAGGUAACAUUUGGGCUGAAUGAAGGGAGAGAACUGAGCCACAUGAAUACUUGAGAAAAGAGUAUUCCACACCUAUGGCAAGUAUAAAGGCCCUGAGGUAGGAGCAUGCCUGGUAUGUUCAAAAAACAGCAAGGAAAUCAAGGUGGCAUGAAAACAGCAAGGAGGAGAGAAUGGGGGCUGACCAGAGAGACGUAGAGUGAAUACAGGAAGCAUGUAGGCCUUGAAGGCUAUGGUGAAGACUUUGGAUGUCACUCUGAGUAAGAUGGGAGCCAUUGGAGGGUUUUGAGUAAAACAAUGGCAUAAACUGAUUUGUAUUUUUUAAAGAACCACUUUGGCUGCCAUCAGUGAACAGAUUUUAGGGGGAAAAGAUGGAAGCAAGGGAGCUGAUAAGAGGCUAUUGCACUAAUCUAGGUGAGUGAUAAUCAGGCUUAGACCAGGGCUUUAGUGGUGGAGGUAGUGAAAGCAGUUAGAACAAAGUAGAGCUUCAAUUAAGUUGUCAUUUAGCAAAUAUGAAAGGUUAGUGCAGGCAGGUGGGUCCACUUGUUUUGGACAUGUUAAGUUUAGAUGCCUGUUAGAAAGCUAAAUAGUGGUGUCAAGAAGACACCAAGUCCACUUUUGGAGGCCGAGGGGGGUAGAUCACCUGAGGUUCAAGACCAGCCUGGCUAACAUGGUGAAACCCCAUCUCUACUAAAAUUACAAAAAUUAGCCAGGCGUGGAGGCAGAUGCCUGUAAUCCCAGCUACUCAGGAGGCUGAGACAGGAGAAUUGCUUGAACCCGGGAGGCAGAAGUUGCAGUGAGCCAAGAUCAUGCCACUGCACUCUAGCCUGGGCAACAAAGAGCGAAACUCUGUCUCAGAAAAAAAAAAAAAAAAAAAGAACAGAAGAAGGAGACACCAAGUCCAUAGUUUAGGUACAAGCUGGAGUUUGCACAUAAAAAAACUUGGAAGACAUCAGCAUGGAGAUGGUAUUCAAAGCCAAAGGCUAGAUGAGCUCACUGAGAGAAUGGGUUUGAAUAAAGAAGGCAGGUGGCUCGAGAACUGAGCAGUCCCCACUUUUCAAGGUGAAAGAGGAUAAAGAAGAAACUCAGGAGUAGUCUGUGAGGCAGAAGAAGAUCCAAGAAAGAGAAGUGUCCAGAAGACCAAAAAAAAGUAUUGCAAGGAGAAAGUGAUUGGCUGUGACCAACAAGUUGGGAGGUAAAGAUGGAGACUGAAAACUGGCCACUGGAUUUAGCAAGUAAGUACCAUAAAUGACCUCAACACAAGAGUUCAGAGACAGCGGUUAGGGCUGAAAGCCUGAGAGGAAUAGGUUUAAGGAUGAAUGGGAGGGGAGAAAGUAUCUUUACAAAAGUAAAGUCAACGUUGUCAAGGGGAAUUGCUGUAAAGGAAAACAGAGAAAUGGUGUGGUAUGUGAAGGGGAUGUGGAGUUGAGGAAGUUCUCUUGGAUUUUGUUCUUUGAGACUGGAAAUACAACUUAUUUGUAGAUAGGAAUCAUCCAGAAAGCAAAUAAAUCUUCCUGAAAUAGGUCAGGAGUUUUAUUUAACCAAGUUGAAGUGUGUAAAGUAGGAAUCAGGAAGAUUUUAGUUGCAUUAUUCUUGAUUAAUUAAAAAGGGAAGUGGCUGAGAGAGGAACUACCAGUAGUAUUACCAUGAUUUCCAUGGUCAUGACCUUAGCUGGGCCCUAUUGAUAAAGGUGAAUGCAUGAGAGUAAAGAUAAAGGAAUAGAAACUUCACAAAGCUUCAGAGAAAAGGUCAAAGAAGAGAUCUGAAAUGAAUCCAUGAGAUAUAGCAAACAGCAAAAUAAAGCUAGACAGAAAUGCUGGAGAAUUUUCUUGAUAGGUGUACAGAAAUCAAGUGCAAUUAUUUGGGUUUGAGAUGUAUGAGUUAUUUAUUAUAAAUUGCUAUGUGCCUUGUGUAAAACAAAAUCAGACAAUAUAGAACUACAUAGGAUAAAAAACGGAAAGUAUGUGUGCGCACACGCACGUGCACACACACACACGUGCACACACACACACUUUCUUUUUCCCUAGGGGGAACCACUGUUAACAAUUUGGUGCAUCUCCUUAUAGAUGUGUAUAUGUGUGUGUAUAUCCAUGCAUAUAUGUAUGUAUGUAUAAUUACAUUACAAAAAUAUCAUAUACUAUUUACACUAUUCCGCACCUUGCUUUUUAUACCUAAAAUAUGUCUUUUGUAUUUUUCCAUCUCAGUAAAGAUAGCUCUACUUUCUUCUUUAUUAAAAAAAUGAAUAGGCAAUACAUGAACAUGAUACACUAUAUAAAAGGGACAACAGAGAUAGUCUUCCAAUUUCUGAGUCAGUCAGUUUCUCCCCAGAGACAACCACUAUUACCAGUUCCUUAAAUGUCCUUCCUCAGUUAGGCAAUGCAUAGAAACAUAUAUGUAUGUAUUUAUACAAAUGGUAGCACACCAUACACAUUGUUCUGUGCUUUGCUUUUUAAAUUUUAACUGUGUAUCGUGGAUACCACUCCAUAGAUGAAGCUGCCUCAUUCUUUUAAAUGGCAAUAUAAUACUGCACUCUAUUGUCUUUAUUUAAUUAAAUCCUGUAUCUGAAUGUUUCUAAUUUUUCACAAUGAGCUCAAUGCAACCAUACUGAGCAAUAAUGAAGAACUUAUUCAACAAGAAGAAAGAAAAAAAACAAAAUUAAAAAAAAAGACCAAAAGAAAUCAUUUGAGACUGUAAAGAAUUGUGAAUUAAGACCAAAUGAGGCCAGGCACGAUGGCUCACACCUGUAAUCCCAGCACUUUGGGAGGCCGAGGUAGGCGAAUCACUUGAGGUCAGGAGUUUGAGUCUGGCCAACAUGGUGAAACUCCAUCUCUACUAAAAAUACAAAAAUUAGCCAGGAGUGGUGGCAGGAAGCUGUAAUCCCAGCUAUUUGGGAAGCUGAGGCAACAGAAUCACUUGAACCAGGGAGGCGAAGUUUGCAGUGAAUGGAGAUCACACCACUGCACUCCAGCCUGGGUGACAAACUAAGACUAUCUCAAAGGAAAAAAAAAAAAAAAAACUAAUGUCACUAAAAUGAUCCAUUUACUGGGAAAACUCCAAAACAAAAAACAAUAGUGAAAUUUUCCUUCUAUAUAAAAUACAUUAUUAACUGAAUUGGCUAGAAAGACAAUGUCUUGUGGCGGCUAGUCUUAGGCAUGGAAGAUGUCAGUUCUGUGACCACUGGGUAGGUGAGUAAAAUUGAAUCAUUCAAUUCUCUUUGCUUCACUUCCCCAUUUGGAAGAGGAAUAAUUGUGUUCAAUGUCUCUACCUGCUCUGAAGACAUGCAGGAAAAAACAGAAACAUGAACCUGCACAUAGCAGAAAAUUCUCAAGUAAGAUCCUCUCGGGUAAUAAUGUUAGAAUGACUCUGGCCAAGUUAUGUCUUAAAGAGAGCAGCUGAAUUUAGAGGCAGAGACAUGUGUGUAUCAGAAUCAACUGGGAAGAGUUUUCAAACUACUCCUUGUCUUGCUCCCUCCCCGCAUCCCAGUUGAGAACCAUAAUGACUGAAGAAAACUUCCGGUGGCUGGUGCCAUAAGUGAUAGGACAUAAGCAUUUGGGUUCUAAAAAAGGGGGAGAUGCACACAGUGGUGAUGAAGGUCAUGAGUUUCAGUUUCAGGGAUGCCUGGGUUUGAGCAUUGGCUUUACUCCUUAUUGACUAUAUGAUCUUGAACUAUUUAUUUAAACUUUGGAAAAUCUUCAUUUCCUCAUCUGUGAAGCACCUGCCACAUAGUUAGUACUCAAUAGUUACGGCAUUGGUUCCUUGGUAACUCUGACCUUAACUGUCCACUUUGAACUACAGAUUUAAGGAAAUAUCUGCUCUCAUAUGGGUUUAUCAAUUAAUUCUCCCAUAACAGUUUAAUAGAUGUAGGAUCUGUAAAAACAUAUAUGCAUAAAUACAUAAUUUUAAAGCUGGACAUGGCUCUUUAAUCAUAAAGUUUACCCUCAAUAAUGCCUCAUUUUAUGAAUGUAGAAACUGAGGCUCUGAAAGGCAUGAGACUUGUCCAAGGUGAUAGAGCUGAUAGGCAUGAGUCAGGACUAGAGCUGAAUCUUCCAUCUUCUAGUCUAGCAUCUUCUUGUCACUUCUUGCCUCUCUAAAACCACACAUUUAAUAAGAUAAAAUAUACUUGCUUUAAAAAGCUAAUGAUGUGAAUAUUAUUUCCUUUCUAUUUCAGGGGUCAUUAUAUAGGACAAGAAAAAUCCUGUGAAGUGAUCCUCAUCCAGCUAAUAAAAUUAACUAUACAAGAAGGUAUAGAAAACCCCUCCCUAUCAUUGCAGAGGUGGCAUCCAAAGACCCAAGAAAGGAGUCAGCAAUAGCCUAGGAUCCAGGACUCAGAGAGAGACCCAUAUUGGGAAAAGGUGCUGAAUAAGGGGUAGAGUUUUUAUAUUCCUUACCCAGCCCCAAAUUAACUUCCCCAGGCUAGUCCUCUGUUUCAAGCUUCUAUGCCUCCCUUGAGGAGUCACAAGAUUUCCAAAAGCUCCAUGUUUUUUUCACAUGGCUGUUUCUUCCUCGAAUUCUUUAUUCCUGCCCACCUGACUAAUAUGGACAUUAGUGUAUCUGCAAUAAAUUUAUACUACAAUUCUGCCAUCCUAGGCAAACAUGGAGGUGACCAGACCCGCAAUGAAUUCAGGAAGCGGAAUGUGGUUAGUGACUAAUACCAAGGAAUCAUAAAUGCAAUUCAACUGAUAACAGUUAGGUCUGCGCCUCUAAAAACAGGACCAAAGGAUCUUCUGGGCUCCCUCAACAAAGCUGGGCGCCAACACUGACUGAAUAGCUAUCCUUGGGUCUGACUCACCCGACCCAGUGGAGUGGAGGGGAAGGUCACAGAACUGGAAGCACAUCCAGUCCAGUUCUGGACACCUGCCUGUCUGCCCACGAAUGACCACUGUGGAAUCUAAGGCAAGCAGACAGCUCCCAAAACUCACCCUGGAGUCUGCCUCCGUGCAUGGCCCAGCAACCACAGCAGUCUCCACUCCAUCCCUGGCCACCAUCAGAAAGGCAUCUGUUACCUCCUGCCUGGCCUUCAGUUCUGUGGUUGCUAGUAUAACCCAACGGCCAUAAAUUUCAAACUCUGCUAAAUGUUGACCUACUUCUAACUCUGACUGCAACACUUCCCCUUUGGGAUAACGGUCUUACUCCUGAGUACUCUCUGCUAAAUGAGUGCCACCUUGUCUCUUUCCUCUGCAUCAUUAUAAUUAAUAAGCAACAAUAUCAUCCCUCAUGAUUAUGUUCUUAUUAGAUGUUAACUGGCCUUAGCAUCAUUAUCUCAUUAAACCUUUCCACCUAAAUUACUUUAUCAGCUUCCCUCCUAAGGAGGUCUGGUACUGUCUGUCUGAAAGGAAUCUCCUACACAAACACAAGAAACCAAAAAGGAUGAUCACUGGUAUUUAGUCCUGCUCCAAAUACUAAUAUUUUUAAAAAAUUAAUGUUAUUUCUACUACUAACAAUAACCUUACAUUGCUAUAAAUCUUCUUAUCCAAAGUAUUUAAAGCUAUACCCAUAAGUUUUUUAGCUUCCUCUCAUUUUUAUGGGGAAAAAAUGUAAAAGAAUGCAUUCUAUAAUAUUUCUAACUGUUAAAACUUCCUCCCUUAUCAUUACCCAUUUCUAUUUGGAAAAACUAUUUCCAGUUCUUUCAUUAAGAUGAUGAAUUUCAAAAUUUUAUAGAAAAGGCUGUAAAAUAGGUUUGCUGGUUUACUUCAGUUGUUCUAGGUGCAAUCUUUUCUUCAACUUUCCUGAUAAUGCUUAGCUUUUCUUUCCUUUAAUAGCAUUCAUUUUAUACAUUAACCUUUUAUUAAAAAGUAGAUGAAAACUAUUCUGCUCAUAAAUGAAGAACAUAGACUAGUACGUUUCUCUAGAAAUGCUUUCAUUCCUGAGGACUAAUGACAUUUAUUGCUUCCUCUGUUGUCCUCACAAUUUCAUGUUAACCAUGAACUCUUUUAAUCUUUUCCUUCUUUAUUACUAAGUUCUGCACAUUCUCCAAAGUUUGGGAAGAUAUGCCAUCGAGAGUCCAAACUUGCCCUUUUACAGCCAUUAAUCAUGUUUUGUUUCCCACCCUAGUCAUCUCUUCCCUUCCUUGCCAUCCCAAAUCCCUUAACUAUCUACCAUCAUUCAUCCUCACUUUCCCAAGUAAUUUGCUAUUUUUUAAUAUCUUAUUAUCUCAUAUUCCUCAUUACCCACUUAUCCUUCAAACUCUAUUGUUCAUUUAAUUUUCUCAGAAAUUAUACAGUCUUAUUUGGCUUGCAGCAUCUUUCUCCCCAUUCUUGCACACCUACCUCACCUUCCCACUUUCCAACUUCCUUUUUGUUUCCAAAGGUGCAGAUCAUGAUUUGAAAUGAUGGAAAUAAAUCUUAAUCUCCUUCCACUUACUUAAUUUUAAAAAUCCAAUGAUCAUUCCCAGAGGGAAACCUAGGUUUGUAAUUCUCAAGCCUUGCCACAGAAGCAAUCAAAUACACUAGGUCUCUUUUUAUUUAAUCAUGGAUAAUACAAGGAAACGCUUUCUAAAAUGAAAUAUUGCACAGUUGGUUGGUGUUAAUCUGAGAUGCGCCGACCAUUCUUUUUCUCCUUUGGGAGUGAAGCCUAGUAUGGUCAGCCAAGGACACAUUUGUGUCUUAUGAAUCUAUGUCACAUAAGCCUUUUUUCUUAGGGAUCUAAAUAAACCGCUAAAUACAAAUCCUGCUGUCAUCAAGCUUUCUGUUAGUGUCCAGCCUCUUUUCUUAGAAGAGCAUAAUCUUAGCUUUAAAAAUUUUUUGUUUAUAUUUUGUUUUUCAACCUUCACAGGCUUUGAGGCUGUUUUCCCUUUCUCUUGAUCUUUCUUUGCUCCUCCUGAAAUCUCAGGCGAAUUAAUUUUAGCAAACACUGCAGGCAUGCAGUCUUCCCUUUAUUUUCUCUAUUUCAGGAUCCUUCCUCACCUAAUCCUUCUCCAGUUCUUUCCUUCCUAUUUCAAGUGCAGGACAGGGAUGAACUCCCAUCUUUGGACAGCCCCAUCUUUAUAUCAUCCUUCACUUUCCUCUCAUCAUUUCAUUUCACUCCAUACACACACUACUUUCGUUCCUGACCAUGUUUGGCCACUUGUGUGGCUGCUGAAGUUCUGGCAGCCUGCCUUCCUGGCCAUGAGUACAGCUACUUGGUUCCUUCAGUGCCCCCCAGGUGCUGCCAAGGCAAAGGCAUCAUGAUCAUUGACUUUAUCAGUGAUAACACCAAGGCAAUGGAAGUAAACAUACAUAGGGACAGCCUCAUUUCAUGCUUAAAGGAAGAACUGGGGCAAUUUCCCCAACUCAACUAUCUCCCAUUGAACUUCUCUGAAGAAUAGUGUUCCUUUUCAAAGCUUAUUGAUUUUCCCAUUCCAUUACAGGCAUAUAAAGGCCUUAUAUGGGAAUGAGAUUAGUAAAUUGUAACUACUGAAACCUAGCAUGCAUCUCCAUAUGAUUAUGACCUUACUCUCUUUCUACACUGGCCAAAGGUAUAGAUGCUUGUGCAGUGGGAAAUCCUGCUCAUUGAAUGACUAUGAGUACGUUUCUUUGAAAAGAACAGAGUUUUCCUGAGUUAAUCCCUUUUUUAAUAAUCCAAAUUAUCUACUCUUUUUUUCUAAAAUGUGACCCCUUUCCCCCUCUGUAUUCUAUUACGAUUCACCACGAUUUCUCCUGAGGGUACAAUAGAGUCUAAUUUUCUUCAUUAUUCAAUUUGGAUCCUGUUAAGAGAGACAGACAUUCACUGACAAGAAGAACAUUUAAAUUUUGGCAAAUAAGUUCAUUAGUAUUCAGAAAGCUUUGCACCCCUCAUAUUUAAUAAACCUUUCCAUUACAGAGUAAGAAAUCCUGCAAAAUAGUCAAACAAAUUAGCAAUGGGGCCACCAAGAGAGUACAUUCAACCUGGAUUCAAAGAUGUCUCAGUUUAUUAGUUUUCUGUCAAUCAUUAAAACAAGAAAGAUGAAAC
rnacentral:lncRNA from 1 species